UGCGGGCGCCGGACGCGCGGGGCUCCCAGCCGUCGCCCGCCCGCGCCGCCGACUGCAGCCUGCGCUCGGCGCUCGGCGCCCGGCGCCCGGGCGGACGGCGCCCACAAGGUGGCAGUGCCGCGCUGCUGGUGUCCUGGCCGGGUUCCGCGCGGGGCGCGCGGGGAGGCCGGAGCCCGCGCGUCCCUCCUGCAAAAGUUUUAAUGAACAGACCCACCCGGGCCUGGGGCGCUCCCAGGCCUGCUGGCCGCGCCGCUUCGAUUUCGGAGUUCCUCUGGGAGAGUUGUACGCUUCGAUGGCGUCUCUCUUUGUCCUCGACUCAGAGAAUCAGGAUUCGGAGCCUGUAAUUGAAGCAGGAGUCCGGCCAUGGCUGCGGAGAUGCCGUCACCCUAAGGCAAGAGGGAGGCAUCUUCUGAGGAAUCGCCUUGAGAACCCGAGGCACGUCUGUUCAUACCUUCAAUCCUGACAAGCUGUUUUUGAAGGCGAAUAUGAUGUUUGGAACCAUCUAGAAGUCAUUUGGAGUCCAGUGAAAAAGCCAGCGAUCAAGGGGAGAAUAAAGGUCUGAGUGAAAAGGUAGCAGCCAAACAAAGGAGCGUGGAAGGGGAAGAGUUCCAACAGCAGUCGGACAAGAUCACUUCAGGCAGAAGACUAGAUGUAUCACCACCAAUUCAGGUGGCAUACGAAGAAGAUCAAACUCUUCAUCUCCUUCUCCUGACUUCUGCCCUUCGUAAUUUGUCCAGACCCAGGAGGUCAAGUUCUCGGUGAUGUCUCCUUCCUCUGCGGUAGCAGCUGUCUCCAGGCUUCAUGCGAACAGGCUCAGUAUGACCAGCGGGGACAAUCCACACGUGGUCCAAAGCUGGGCCCUGACUGCCUGUGCGUGUGUUAUGACAUGAAGCUCAUCCUUACCACCACUUUAAGAAAAAAAAUAGAGAGACAGACAAAAUAUUUUCAGAUCUGAGCAGGCACGUGGGGCCAGCUAGUUAACAGGAGAAAGAAAACAGAACAACAAUGAAAAAAAAAAGAAUUUGAUCUUGCUAGUGGUCAGUUACAAACACCUGAAUGGACGAACAUUGACGCUCCAGCCAGACUGAAUCAGCUUUAGAAGGGUGUUCUAGAAUGCUCUUUGUUAUUUUACUCUCCCUCCUUUUUCCCUUCUCUCUCUGCACUGCCCAAGGUCUGGGCUCUACUCCCGGUGUCCCAAAUGGACAUGGUUGGAUUCAUCAAGCCUCUUUCAAGGCCCUGUUUCUACCUUUGUAUUUGUAUAUAGGAUUUCUACUCCCUCAAAAAGCCUCCCCCCGCCAAACUGACUAAGCUCUGGGCCCUACAAAACAUGGGUGCUCUCCGGGGAGCUGACAGGCAUCCCCGGCCCCAACCUGGGGACCUGCGGGGGCUCCCUGCCGUCUUAAGUUUUUCACAUUCUUCCUGGUGGAGCAUCUAUAUGGCAGACCUUCCUCAUGCUGACAACAAUGGCUUCUCACUUCGUGACUUGAGUUUUUUAUGCUAAAAUGCUCCCUCCCUUCCCAGGAGUCAGAGGCCCGAGAAGAUAAGUGACUUAAAGGAAAGUCUACCUCUUGAGUUAGGCAUUUUUGCUUUCGCUUACGGAUGAGAAAGAGGAUGCUCAAAGCGCCGAGUGAGUCAUUUAUCUAAGAUCACAGAGCUGGUUAGAAACCCAGUCAGAACUUGAACCCAGGUCCUCAACUCCUAAACUGCUGUUUCUUGUUCUAUUCCAUAUUUCUAAUCCAUCAGAGGCAUUCAUUUGAAGAAAGAAAGAAAUUAGGUUUUUCUGAUCCGAGCUAGUCAAGAAGCACAUGGGUCUUUUUGAGUCACCGAGACCUCAUGCUCCCAGCAUUUUCAGUAAAGACAUAACUUUUGAGGCUGCGUUCUCUCCUUUCAUUUUUUUUACACUAAUGGGUGUUUCAGUAGGAAUGGGAUUCCUACAUUUCAGAUUCUAAUGUGCUUACUCCACUUAACGAGGUUUGGCUUAAUUAUUAAGAGUGCUGUGAGGCAUGAGGCCAGAGCAGUCCCAACGUGGCUACAUCCUGUGCGUGUGGAUAUCUGUGCUCGUGGCAGGAUGGAGAGGCCAGGGAGGCCAAGAGGUGGGGGGCUGAGAGGCAGGACCUCCUUGUCCCCCAUCUGUGACAUGGUGGGCUUCCAGGUGAGGAUACAGUGGGGUGUGCAGUGCAGAGGUGACAAGGAAGGGACACUAUUAGUUUGGUAGGGUUGCUGUAACAAACUACUACAAACAAAUGACUUAAGCAACAGAAAUUUACUGUCUCACAGUUCUGGAAAUUAGAAUUCUGACACUGAGAUGCCGGGAUGGCCAAGCUCCCUCUGAAGGCCCUGGGGAAGAAUCGGUCCCAUGCCUCUCUGUUAGCUUCAAGUAGUUCCUUGGAUUGUGACAGCACAGCUCCAGUCUUCACGUGAUGUCCUCUGGUGUGUGUGUGUCUAUGUCCAAGUCACCUCUUUUACUAAGGACGUAAGUCAUAUUGGAUUAGGGGGCCACUGUACUUCAGUAUGACCUCAUCUUAACUAGUUGUAUCUGCAAUGACCCUAUUUCCAAAUACAGCCACAUUGUGAGAUUAGGGCUUUAACAGGUGAAUUCUGGGGGACACGUUUUAACCCAUAAUGGCCCACCCUCUGGUCCCCCCAAUUUACGUCCUUCUCACAUGCAAAAUACAUUCAUCUUAUCUCAACAGCCCCGAAAUUCUUAACUUAUUCCAGCAUCAACGCUAAGUCCUAAACCUCAUCUAAAUAAGGUAUGGGUGAAAGUCGGAGUAUGAUUCACUCUGGGGCAAAAUUCCUCUCUGUAUGAGAACCUAUGAAACCAGACCACAAGUUAUCUGCUUCCAAAACAUGAUGGUGGGACAGUCAAAGGACAGACCUUACCAUUCCAAAAGGGAGAAAUCAGAAGGAAAAAGGGUCAUGUGGCCCAAGAAAGCCUGAAACCUAACAGUAAGUUCCAUUAGAUUUAAGCCUUGAGAAUAAUCCUCUUUGGCUCAAUGUUUUGUCCUUUGAGUCCACCCACAUCAUGAAGGGUGAUCUGCUUUUCUCUCUGCUUUUCUCAAAGUCCACUGAUUUAAAUGUUAAUCACAUCUAAAAAAAAAAAAAAAUGCUUUCACAGCAACAUCUAGACUGGAGUUUAACCAAACAACUGGGCAACAUAUCCUAGACAAGUUAACACAUAAAAUUAGCUAUCACUGAUAUUUUUUGAAAAAAGUACUAUAAUGUGUCCAAGACGGGGGAAAAAUCAGGAAGAGACACUUAGAAGAGAAGGUGGCGAAGACUUUCAGGCAGUCUGAGCUGGGCGAUGUACCCCUGGGGCAGCACUCAGAAGGGUCAGCUGAGGAGUCGUUUUAAUCUGUCCCAGUGGUUUGGAUCAGAGAGGUGGGCAGAAAUGGUGGUGUGGAGGGUGGGAAACACAGAUGACUAGAAAGUCAGGGCUGUGGCCCAAGGAGAAGCCCUAAAAGAGAACUGGCUGGUCUGGAGCUAGGUGCACUGGCAGGGAGUGGUGGGCUGAAUGUUUGUGUCCCCCCAUGUUCAUAUGCUGGAGCCCUAACCCCCAAUGGGAUGGUAUUUGGAGGUGGACCUUUGGGAGGUGAUCAGGUUUAGAUGAGGUCAUGAAGAUGGAGCUCCCAUGAUGCGAUUAGUGCCUUUAUAUAAAGAGGAAGAGACACCAGAGUUUCCUUUCUGUGUCACGUGAGUGGGAAGAAUCUGGGAGCUGGAUGUCACUGAGAACUGAAUCUGCCCGGCCCUUUCUCUUGGAUUUGCAUCCUUUAGAACUCUGAGAAAUAAAUGUCUGCUGUUUAAGCCACUCAGUCUUUGGUGUUUUGUCGCAGCGGCAUGAGCUAAGACACAGAGGAAGCCACUCAUGGCCUCCUGCACGUGCCUCACCUGGGCAAUAUUCUAUUGUACUGUGCUUGUCUCCAUGUCUAUCUCCCCACGAGAACUCAGCUUCCAUGGGUUGGUCUCAUGAGAGGAUGUCUCCUCAGCAACCAGCACAGGACCUGGUGUCCAGAAGGUACUCAAGUAAGGGUUGUUGAAUGAAAAUGUGAGUGGACUCUACCCAACUUCUUAAAACUUGGUGGUGGCAAGAAAAUUUUAUAAUGGUGGAUGGGGAUGGAUGCGGUUUAGCUUGUGGGGUGUAGCAAACCUAUCCUGAAGCUGUGUUGACCGGGCAAACACACUGCUUCUCCUUGGAACAUGUGGUUAUUUGAGUUGGCUUGGGGAAGGCCGAUGGCUGAAAAGAGAGGUGUUAAAACUCCCAGACACCCCUGGGAGUCUACUAAAGCCUGGAGGUUGUGUGAGCCUGCGUUAAGACGAGGUGACCUUUUUUUUUUCUUUUUACUGUACGCGGGCCUCUCACUGUUGUGGCCUCUCCCGUUGCGGAGCACAGACUCCAGACGUGCAGGCUCAGCGGCCAUGGCUCACGGGCCCAGCCGCUCUGCGGCAUGUGGGAUCUUCCCGGACCGGGGCACGAACCCGUGUCCCCUGCAUCGGCAGGUGGACUCUCAACCACUGCGCCACCAGGGAAGCCCAGAGGUGACCUUUUAAGAAGACCAGCCUGUGAGUGCCUUUCUGCUCUUAGUCUGUAACCAGAGAUCUUAAUCUCUACACAGAGUAAAGGUUCACACCUAGAUAUUCUGUAGUCUAGAGGGCGUGGAGUGAGAAGGAAGGAAGGAGCAC